UUACUGCUGUGUAUGGGCGCGUAUGCGCGUCUGUUAAGUCACAGUGUGUGAUUCCCAGGCUCAACCCUGGGACUGCCCUUGAACUGGCAGACUUGAGGGCAGGAGAGGGAAGUGGAAUUCCCGGUGUAACGGUGAAAUGCGUAAAUAUCGGGAGGAACACCAGUGGCGAAGGCGGCUUCCUGGACUGGACCUGACGCUGAAGCGCGAAAGCUGGGGGAACAAACAGGAUUAAAUACCCCGGUAAUCCCAGCCGUAAACGAUGAAUGCUAAGUGUGGGGGGCAACCAUCCCCCCUGGCGGAGUUAACACAAUAAACACUCCCCCCGGGGAGUACGGCCGCCAGGGUAAAAAUCAAAUGAAUUUUCGGGG
rnacentral:rRNA from 1 species